UACGAAGGGGGCUAGCGUUGCUCGGAAUCACUGGGCGUAAAGGGUGCGUAGGUCGGGUUUUAAGUCAGGGGUGAAAUCCUGGAGCUCAACUCCAGAACUGCCUUUGAUACUGAAGAUCUUGAGUCCGGGAGAGGUGAGUGGAACUGCGAGUGUAGAGGUGAAAUUCGUAGAUAUUCGCAAGAACACCAGUGGCGAAGGCGGCUCACUGGCCCGGUACUGACGCUGAGGUGCGAAAGCGUGGGGAGCAAACAGG
rnacentral:rRNA from 1 species